rnacentral:rRNA from 1 species
CCUUGUGGCCGCAUGGUUUGCCUGGAAACACCCCUUCCCAUUCCGAAUAGGACGGUGAAACGGGCAAACGCCGAUGAUACUCCUCUGGGGGAAAGUAGGUGCCGCAAGGG